rnacentral:rRNA from 1 species
GACGAACGCUGGCGGCGUGCCUAAUACAUGCAAGUAGAACGCACAGGAUGCACCGUAGUUUACUACACCGUAUUCUGUGAGUUGCGAACGGGUGAGUAACGCGUAGGUAACCUGCCUGGUGGCGGGGGAUAACUAUUGGAAACGAUAGCUAAUACCGCAUAAGAACAUUUACUGCAUGGUAGAUGUUUAAAAGGUGCAAAUGCAUCACUACCAGAUGGACCUGCGUUGUAUUAGCUAGUAGGUGAGGUAACGGCUCACCUGGGCGACGAUACAUAGCCGACCUGAGAGGGUGAUCGGCCACACUGGGACUGAGACACGGCCCAGACUCCUACGGGAGGCAGCAGUAGGGAAUCUUCGGCAAUGGGGGGAACCCUGACCGAGCAACGCCGCGUGAGUGAAGAAGGUUUUCGGAUCGUAAAGCUCUGUUGUUAAGGAAGAACGAGUGUGAGAAUGGAAAGUUCAUAC